GCCGCUCCUGCGGCCAAUAGAGGUUCCCAGGCUAGGGGUCUAAUCGGAGCUGUAGCCACCAGCCUUCCCCAGAGCCACAGCAAGUCCAAGCCACGUCUGCGACCCACACCACAGUUCGCCCCAACGCCAGAUCUUUAACCCCCUGAGCAAGGUCAGGGAUGGAACCUGCAACCUCAUGGUUUUUAGUCGGAUUCGUUAACCACUGCACAACAACGGGAACUCCAAGGGGAGAGGAAGUGGGUUAUGAUUCUCCCUUGGCUGGAACCCUGGUCCUGCUUAAGGCACUGAAGAUGGUUCCUGAGUUCCCUGGUCUGAUAGACCAUUCCCUUCCCCACAUAUUCCUCCAUACCCCACCCCAGGCUGAAAGACACGGAUAUGAGGCCCAGGGGGUGAUGUCUGAGAGAGAAAAUGUCUGUCGCACAAACUAAGACGACCUCGAGUUACAGAUCCAAACAAAUGUAGUGACAACUGAAGGGCUGAAUGUACCACUCAAGUAUUCGGGGACCCUCCGCAAGGAGAUGGUUUCCUUUAAAGACCCGGUUUCCUUUAAAGACCCCGGUUUCCUUUAAAGACCCAUCCUUUAAGGAUGGGAUUACUUAGGGUACACCUCCCACAAAUAAAGGGUUUAAAGGUCUGGGCAGACCUCGUCCCUCCCUCGUCGUCCAUCCCUUGUUAGGGACGAGACCCAAUCUCAUUGCCCUUCCCAACCUCACUCCAGGGUUCCAAGGAGGGAGCGAGAGAGGAACCUAGACGGCUGCAUCCCUUCCUCACUAUCCCAGGUUGAGUGAUCCCUGGGGAACAAAAUCGCCGUCCCAAAUCUUACCUCGCAAGGGCGUCUCCUGCGCGUUCUUCAGGUAUUUGCGGAGCUACCUGAUCCCCUCUCCCUCCGGGCAGGCGCUCCGGACUUUGCAAUAGGCAUCUCCCUUGAAGCCUGGUGGGGGAGGGGUUUCGAGCCGCAGUGUCGCUUCUGUUCAGUCUCUAGGCCCGGGUGCAAGCAUUUUCACCAGAGCUGCUGCGGGGGGUGGGGGUGGGCGGAGAAGCUAGGCUCAUCAAGUGACCCUCUGCGAACCGCCGCACUGGAAAAAAUGCCCCCUGGGCAUCCGCCUCCAGGGUCGCAGCGGGAGCCCUCUGGCCCCACCCACCUCAGGGCCAGAAGCUAUGAUUGGCUCGCUGGAACGCCAAUCAGAGCUCGGCGCUCUGGGGCCGGAGAAACGCGGCACCACCUUCCGGCUAUAAGAGCUGCUGGGUUCUUCUCUGAGCUCCGCCAGGGUAGCGGGUUCCUAAAAGUCCCUCUGAGGGUUCCGCGGUGACCUGAUGUCCAGCCCUCAGUCGCCUCCCCCAGGAUUCUCCCAGCUUGUCUGCGCUGAUUCCGGGGCUCCGCUUCCCUUCCGCCAGGUUCAGCCCGCGAGCUCGGCCCUCCCACCUGUGAGGUGCCUGGUGCCCAGGCGGGGAUGCGGGCGGCGGACCGAAACCCGGACCGAGAGUCCCCGAGCCUCGCCACCUGACCGCACCUCUCCAGGACUCUGGGCCCGGCUUCUUGUAAACUACCCGCUCCUCAUAGACCCUGAACGGCUGCCAGCCGGAGAGUUAUUCAACUGCAGGGAGGAAAGGUGAGCAAGGUGGGCGAAGGAGAGAGAGGAACAAAAGAAGGCAGAAUGAAGGCAGGGUUGGAAGAG
rnacentral:lncRNA from 1 species